rnacentral:tRNA from 1 species
GGGAAGUCAGCUCAGUGGUAGAGUACUUGCCUAGCAUGCAUGAAGCCCUGGGUUCGAUUCCUUAGUACCCCA